GACAGGACUGGUGGAGUGCUUAGAAGUGAGAAUGCCGGUAUGAGUAGCGAAAGACGGGUGAGAAUCCCGUCCACCGAAUGCCUAAGGUUUCCUGAGGAAGGCUCGUCCGCUCAGGGUUAGUCAGGACCUAAGCCGAGGCCGACAGGCGUAGGCGAUGGACAACAGGUUGAUAUUCCUGUACCACCUCUUUAUCGUUUGAGCAAUGGAGGGA
rnacentral:rRNA from 1 species